UUUGCCAGCCCGAGGCCUGGUUUCAGGUGGUGGAUAGUACCCAGAUUGGAAUGAUCUAAGCACCAGUUGAAAUCAGAGCCUCUGGCGUUGGUCAGUC
rnacentral:pre_miRNA from 1 species